rnacentral:rRNA from 1 species
UACGAAGGGUGCAAACGUUGCUCGGAAUUAUUGGGCGUAAAGCGCACGUAGGCGGCUCCGCAAGUCGGAUGUGAAAGCCCUCGGCUCAACCGAGGAAGUGCAUCCGAAACUGCGGAGCUUGAGUACAAAAGAGGAUCGCGGAAUUCCCGGUGUAGAGGUGAAAUUCGUAGAUAUCGGGAGGAACACCAGUGGCGAAGGCGGCGAUCUGGGUUGAUACUGACGCUGAGGUGCGAAAGCGUGGGGAGCAAACAGG